CACGUAGGGUGCGAGCGUUGUCCGGAAUUAUUGGGCGUAAAGAGCUCGUAGGCGGUCUGUCGCGUCUGCCGUGAAAACCCGAGGCUUAACCUCGGGCUGGCGGUGGAUACGGGCAGACUAGAGGUAGGUAGGGGAGAAUGGAAUUCCCGGUGUAGCGGUGAAAUGCGCAGAUAUCGGGAGGAACACCGGUGGCGAAGGCGGUUCUCUGGGCCUUACCUGACGCUGAGGAGCGAAAGCAUGGGGAGCGAACAGG
rnacentral:rRNA from 1 species